GGGAGAAGAUGCCCGGGGUAAAGCCAUGGUUGCACCUGCAAAAGACCAGCGCCAAGAUUCAGCAUCAGCUACAGGAAAUAUCUGGCUGCUAGCCCAGGAUAAAUGAAAACCUUGAGGGGGAGUCCCAAAGUCUGGGACUGGACUGACCAACAGACUGAUAUUGGCAUCCAUCAAGCUGCUGCUACCAGGGAACGUGGUGUAUUCACAGAUGUAGGUUGACUCGUCAGAAAGGCGGAGCGAGGAGAAGGUGAUGGUGGUGUC